rnacentral:rRNA from 1 species
CCGGACCGGGUACGGGUAGGUAAACGUAAACCGUAACGUUAGGUAACCGGUAACCGUCCCGUACCUUAGUCGACGGGGGAAGGGUAAGUACAGGAAGAAAUUCCGUCUAAUACCGCAUAACACCUUUAGGAGACAUCUUCUUGGGGUCAAAGGAGGCGACUCCGGCAUAGGAUGGCCAUGCGUCGCAUUAGCUAGUCGGCGGGGUAACGGCCCACCGAGGCGACGAUGCGUAGGGGUUCUGAGAGGAAGGUCCCCCACACUGGUACUGAGACACGGACCAGACUCCUACGGAAGGCAGCAG